ensembl:lncRNA
CCUGGCCUGAGUCACUAAGAAAUUUGGGCUGCUGGGAAUAUGCUGUCUGCCAUUAGGCUGGGAGAUGAGAGUGUUUGCUGGCUUGGAAAAGGAUGAUCCACAGGCCUCUGUCAUGCUGGCAUCUGGGUAAACAACAGAAGCCAAACCAAAAAAAAAGGCCUGAGCUGAGGGUAUCAUAUGUCCUGUCAGAGAGUGACACCAGAGACACGUCAGUCUUCAGAGGGACUUGUCUCCUGGUGAGAAGAGCACAUUGGAUUCCUGUUUUCUGAGAAAAGUAGAAGAUGAAGAGACUCCUCUGAAGUCCAUGGCACACACUUAUGAAUUAAUCUUCCUACAUCACCUGGUAAAAAGUCAAGCUCCAGCAUUCUUACUUCUCGGAUGAAACAACUGAGGUAAAGAAGUUAAAUGAUGCAAUCAGACCACAGAUGCAAGUAAAUGUUAGAGUCAAUAUGAAAGAUCUCCUCUUUACGUAGUAAUAAACCAAAUGUCUUUCAGCACAGCACCUCUCAGUCCCUACCAACUAUGUGCUGAAGAUAGUUAAAUACAGGAUAUUCGCCAGGCAUGAAAAUGCAUUAUAAGACUGGAACCCAAAUAUCCCAGAUUUAUAUUCACAUUUUCAGACAUUGUUCAAGCACAGUGCUAAGGCAAGAGCUGCAGCACAUUUACCACAUGCAUAGUCUCUACAAAAUUGUCAGCCAGCACAACUGUCUCAGGAGUAAGCCUUGCUCAACAGAGCUUUCAAGGAGAGCCCAGAUUUCCCUAUGUUGCUUGAGUCUGAGCUGUUGGAACUGCAUGGAGAAAGGAGAUAUAUGCCGCAAUAUACUGCGGCACUCAGGCUUGUCCCUCCU